CCGUUGCCAUUUUGGCUCAAG
rnacentral:sRNA from 1 species